GUGGUGGGGGGUGAGGUUCAAUUUGAACCCAAGGCCUCAGCGCUGGUCCAUGACUAGGCUGACCAAAAAUAACCCCUGCUCACGGGGCAGGGCUGGGGUGUCAGUGAAAGAACUUCAACCGCAGAGAGGGAAAGUUUGUGGUCUCAAACUUCCCUUCUCCAUGAACAACAGACACAUUUCCUGAACCACGCAGGUCCCUCAUCGGAAAAGUCUGCGCUGCCAGCACCGCCCUCAGGCUAACACCCACUUCUUCCGUGGAGCUAGCGGUGAUCGAUGAGGAAGAAGAUGAGGAUCGACGUGAGGAGUGCUCCCCAUCCACCUCUGGAAACCCACUGUCCCAGUUCAACUCCUUGGAGUUCCCUUCGACUGCCCCCUUUUC